GAUGAACGCUGGCGGCGUGCUUAACACAUGCAAGUCGAACGGAAAGGCCCAAGCUUGCUUGGGUACUCGAGUGGCGAACGGGUGAGUAACACGUGGGUGAUCUGCCCUGCACCUUGGGAUAAGCCCGGGAAACUGGGGCUAAUACCGGAUAGGACCACUUCUUGCAUGUUGUGGUGGAAAGUUUUUUGGGUGUGGGAUUGGCCCGCGGCCUUUUUGCUUUUUGGGGGGGUAAUGGCCUUCCAAGGGGUCGUCGGGGAGCCGGCCUGGGAGGGGGUACGGCCCAAUUGGGACUGGGAUAAGGGCCAGGAUCCUAAGGGGGGGAGGAGGGGGGAAAAAUGCACAAAGGGCGGGAGCCGGAUGCAGCGACGGCGGGGGGGGGGUGACGGGCUUCGGGUUGUAAACUCCUUUCGCUAGGGACGGAACGGUUUGUGACGGUACCUGGUGAAGAAGCACCGGCUAACUACGUG
rnacentral:rRNA from 1 species